rnacentral:rRNA from 1 species
UACGUAGGGUGCAAGCGUUAAUCGGAAUUACUGGGCGUAAAGCGUGCGCAGGCGGUUUUGUAAGUCUGUCGUGAAAGCCCCCGGCUCAACUGGGGAGGGUCACUCGAUACUGAUCGACUCGAAGGCAGGAGAGGGAAGUGGAAUUCCCGGUGUAGUGGUGAAAUGCGUAGAUAUCGGGAGGAACACCAGUGGCGAAGGCGACUUUCUGGCCUGUUCUUGACGCUGAGGCGCGAAAGCUAGGGUAGCAAACGGG